rnacentral:rRNA from 1 species
GGACCGUAUACAAGUCUCCUGGGAUGGAGCAUCAUAGAGGGUGAGAAUCCCGUCUCUGAUACGGACUACCAGUGCAUUGUGGUAUGCUCUCAACGAGUCGAGUUGUUUGGGAAUGCAGCUCAAAAUGGGUGGUAAAUUCCAUCUAAAGCUAAAUAUUGGCGAGAGACCGAUAGCGAACAAGUACCGUGAGGGAAAGAUGAAAAGAACUUUGGAAAGAGAGUUAAACAGUACGUGAAAUUGCUGAAAGGGAAACGCUUGAAGUCAGUCGCGUCUGCUGGGAAUCAGCCUUGCUUUUGCGUGGUGUACUUCCUAGUUUGACGGGUCAGCAUCAAUUUUGACUGCUGGAAAAAGGUGAGAGGAAUGUGGCAGCUCCGGCUGUGUUAUAGCCUCUUAUUGUAUACAGCGGUUGGGAUUGAGGAACGCAGCACGCCGAAAGGCCGGGUCUUCGGACUACGUUCGUGCUUAGGAUGCUGGCAUAAUGGCUUUAAGCGACCCGUCUUGAAACACGGACCAAGGAGUCUAACAUGCCUGCGAGUGUUUGGGUGGAAAACUCGAGCGCGUAAUGAAAGUGAAAGUUGAGAUCCCUGUCGUGGGGAGCAUCGACGCCCGGACCAGAACUUUUGGGACGGAUCCGCGGUAGAGCAUGUAUGUUGGGACCCGAAAGAUGGUGAACUAUGCCUGAAUAGGGUGAAGCCAGAGGAAACUCUGGUGGAGGCUCGUAGCGGUUCUGACGUGCAAAUCGAUCGU